AGUGAAUAGAUACCCGGGUAGUCCUAGCCGUAAACGAUACUCGCUAGGUGUCGGCCACGGUGCGACCGUUGUCGGUGCCGUAGGGAAAGCCGUGAAGCGAGCCACCUGGGAAGUACGGCCGCAAGGCUGAAACUUAAAGGAAUUGGCGGGGGAGCACCACAACGGGUGGAGCUUGCGGUUUAAUUGGAUUCAACGCCGGAAAUCUUACCGGGACCGACAGCAACAUGAAGGCCAGGCUGAAGACUUUGCCGGAUUAGCUGAGAGGUGGUGCAUGGCCGUCGUCAGUUCGUACUGUGAAAGCAUCCUGUUAAGUCAGGCAACGAGCGAGACCCACGCCCACAGUUGCCAGCGUACUCUCCGGAGUGACGGGUACACUGUGGGGACCGCUGCUGCUAAAGCGGAGGAAGGAAUGGGCAACGGUAGGUCAGUAUGCCCCGAAUAUCCCGGGCUACACGCGAGCUACAAUGGUUGGUACAAUGGGUAUCUACCCCGAAAGGGGAUGGAAAUCUCCUAAAGCCAAUCUUAGUUCGGAUUGAGGGCUGCAACUCG
rnacentral:rRNA from 1 species